CUAUACCUCCUAGGAUGAUUCUGAGAUGAUGUGGCCUCCUCCCUCUGCUGGAACUUUCCUUGGAGAACCUUUUGUCUCCGUCCUGUUCUGAGGGGAACGCACAAGAGCCUGACUGCUGACCGGAGCUGGGCAGACCUUCCGGUGUCUCUCUCCAUAGCCACCAGGCCUUUCAGUCUACAAACUGUUACACAGUAGCCGCAACUCUUGGAUUUAAAAAAAAAAAAAAAAA
rnacentral:lncRNA from 1 species